rnacentral:rRNA from 1 species
AAAUUUGAAAUCUGGUAGCCUUCGGCUGCCCGAGUUGUAAUCUAGAGAAGUGUUUUCCGUGCCGGCCCAUGUACAAGUCCCUUGGAACAGGGCGUCAUAGAGGGUGAGAAUCCCGUCCUUGACAUGGACCCCCGGUGCUUUGUGAUACACUUUCAACGAGUCGAGUUGUUUGGGAAUGCAGCUCAAAAUGGGUGGUGAAUUCCAUCUAAAGCUAAAUAUUGGCGAGAGACCGAUAGCGAACAAGUACCGUGAGGGAAAGAUGAAAAGCACUUUGGAAAGAGAGUUAAACAGUACGUGAAAUUGUUGAAAGGGAAACGAUUGAAGUCAGUCAUGCUCUUUGGAUUCAGCCGUUCUGCGGUGUAUUUCCAUUGAGUGGGGUCAACAUCAGUUUUGACCGCUGGAUAAAGGCACUAGGAAGGUAGCACUCUCGGGUGAACUUAUAGCCUAGCGUCAUAUACAGUGGUUGGGACUGAGGAACGCAGCAUGCCUUUAUGGCCGGGAUUCGUCCACGUACAUGCUUAGGAUGUUGACAUAAUGGCUUUAAACGACCCGUCU